ACAUCCCUCCACAUGUAAGUAACAGCAAACAUCAAUAUGGGCCAUAAUUACUUCUGGUUCAGGAAGAAAGAACCCUCAGAGGUCUUCUAAGCAUUGAAAGAACUGGUCCACUGUAGUGGUAACUGACUGCUUGCAAAUCCAUUCUCACCCACUUUGCAACUGUGUGGCUUUAGGACAGUUGCAUCUGCACUUGUGGAAUAAGUGAUGAGGAAGACCCAUGCCACUUGGAAUCCCAAAAUAUGUUGCAUCAUGCUCCACAUCAUGCUUGGUGAGCACACCAGAGGCAGACGAGUCAGGACAACUGCAGU